GAUUGAAAGCACAGUAUACAUUUGGAUAAAAAGCAAGGCAGUACCCGCAGAUAGACAGAUUACCUGAUACUUGUAAUUUACACAGUUGCAUAACAACUCAGCAUCUUCACUCACAAAAGCAACAAAAGGAAAAGAGGAAAUGCCAAUCGCAAUGUUCCAACAUGAACCAAUAAUGAAGGCAAUUGCACAACACAUCACACAAAAAUAGCGAGGAAAAUUUGGUAAGUUUGCUAUUGGUUGUGUUACAAAUAUUUUAUCAGUAGAUAUAUGAUGACAACCAGAAUCACAAUCCCGACAACAGCUAAAAGCAUGCACAAGCAGGAGCAGCCACCCUUUGUACGCUUGUUCAGAAUAGCCAGAUUCUUCUGCACUCGCUGUUACCAAAAAACAAUGUUCAAUGCAAAUUAUAUUAUGAUAUAAGAUUCUGAGGUACAGAGAAACAAAACAAGAACAUAUGUACAGAAAAUAAAACAGGAUAUCCAGACCAUUCUAAUUCAUCAAGUGAUAUGUAUUGCAAUAUAUACUCUUUGUUUUCCAUCAAAGACCUUGCAUAACAUUCCUUCAUAGUUUAAGAUUUUUUUUCCCUUUCUCCUUUACGAGUCUCUUAAAUUAUAAAAUGAACUAAAAACUCAAAUAGAUCCUUGGAUUUCAAAUCCUCCUAUCCAAAUGGACCCUUAAGUUGCAUUUAAAUAGAUAAGGACUCAAAGUCAAUAACCAUGACCAUUAAUCUUAUUUUUUUUCACUUGAGAUUCACACUAACAGCAGCCUAAAAAGAGCGAAUGCACUCCUCAAUAUUCUCCAAAUUUGAAAGUUUAGCAUUCACAAAGAUCAAAAUUAUCCACUGAGGCCUGAAACAAUUCCAAAUAUCUCUAAAAGAACAAUAUAUCCUUUGCUUUUUCCUUGCAUAUUUUUGUGGUGUGUGUGUGUGCACACGCGCGUGUCAGGGCUUCAGAGACUUUUUUUUCUUUCCAAAUUUUUUUACUCAAAUUCCCUUAUUGCCAAUGUAAAUAAAAAAGCAAAUAGUAUUAUACAGUUAUAUAUGUCAAGGCCAGAGCAUUACCCGUAAGCGGGAGUCGGUAACAUCCACAUGUUGGUCCAAGUCAUCCUGCAUAGUUUGAGAGCAUAAAUCAUAAUCUCUAUAAAGCCUAGAAUAAUUCAAUUUAAUAAAGUACGUGUUUUUGGUAGUGAUAUUCAAAUGUGAAAAAAGUUGUAAAUAAAUUAAGAAAAUGAGGAAAAGAAAAAAAUACAAUAAGCCUGGUGUGAAGACCAAGUUCUUCAUUGACUGCCAAGGCAAUAUGUUUUGUACUUGUUACUGUCUCCUCCAACUUCUCAAGGCCCUCAUCUUGCUCUUUCAUAAUUUGCCGUUGAAGACCGAUAAUGCCAUGGUUGUCCAAGCCUUCCGUUCUACGCAUGGCAUCGGCUUGCUUUAUUUCUGGACCAAACAAGCUAUCCCUGUUGGCAAAGUUUGACAUAUCCAAUGCGGAAGCCAUUUGGUUUACUUUUGUUCUCAAAUUUGCAACCAUGUCCUUGCGACGAUUCAUCUCUUUCUCUGAUCUGUGUAUCACAAAAGGCAGCACUUAUAGAUUUCAGAUAAUUACAAUAAAUAAACAUCACUUUUGCCACAUUGAGCAUUGCAUGCAUGGUUAUUUAUUUUGAGCAAUACAAAAACUACAAUUGUGAAUCACAAAACAGCACAGAAAGCAAGAAACAGAAAUUCAUCAACAUUAUGUAAGAAACUUUUCCUUUAUCUAAAGAAUAUUGUAAUGUUCAUGUGGAAACUUCUGACACUGAGAAGAGGAAAACAUAUCAUGCAGCCAAUCCAAGAAGCAAAAUUUGUGCUGCCAACCAUAAUGAAUGAAAUAUGUGUUGUAAUAUUUAUCCUUUAUACCCUAAAACCAUCACAACACAACACUACCACUCAGGUCAUAAAUUUCCCCUACCAGUAACCAAAAUGGUUAUCAAUUUUGAAUAAAAACUAAGAUAAGGAAUCACCAAAACAGCAGAGGAAGCAAGAAACAAAAGUUAAUUAACAUUUCAGGAUAAGUUCAGGGACGCUUGACCAUGUUCAAAAGAUAGAAACAUAACAGACUUAAAAAAAUCACUAUUUCCUACAUAUGCAAAAAAACAGGGCAUGAGUUAACAGCCUGCAGCCCAAUAGCAGCAGGAUUGUAGAUAACUAGACAUACAGUACAAAAAUAAGAUA
rnacentral:misc_RNA from 1 species